AAGUCACACAGCAAAUGGCAGAGCUGGGACUCAAACCCAGGCAUUCUGCUCCCUAGCCCUUAGGCUUAACCCCUACAGGAUGCGGCCCCGUGGGAACAGGCAGGCACCUCAUUUAAAGGUGAAAUACCCUCCCAAGACCAGUGGCUAAAAUGAUCUCCAAGUUCCUACUCAGAGCCAUCUGCAGUCCUGGAAGUUAAACGGGGGUCAGGGAGCUUGAAAGACUUAAUUGCUGUUCAAUUUAGAUUUCCUGGCUGAAAGGCUUUCUGCUCAUCCUACUGGAAAUUAAUAGCCAAUUGUUUCUUUGCAUUCUUGUGGGAGGGUAAGCCCUUCUCCCUGGGCCCUGGCUGUUUCUGGAACAGUAAGCACUCAGUCAGUAUCAGCCAGGUAAAGGCUGGGAAGUGAAACCAAGUCUCUUUUGUUGAAGCUGGCAGCUUACUCCACUGGUCUAGGAGCUGGGGCCCCUCCUCCUGACUUUGCAGGAAAGUGCCCUUCUGUGCCUCUAACAGAGGGAGUCAGAGGAAGGAAAGGAGGUUGUUAGGAGAAGGGGCACAAGGUCCUCAAAGGAAGCAUGAGAAGCAGCAACCAUAGCAUCUGUAGAAGUGACCCUGCACUAUUAACAGUGGAUCCUGCUUAGCACAGCUCCAUUCAUCUCCCUGUGGAACCGCAGCACGGCGGGGCUCAGACAGGCUGGGCGACCACGGUGGACACCUUCACAAAGGCUGAAGUCAUCAUAUUUCAUCCUCACCUCCCUCCCUGGGAGACAGUCAGGAUUGAGAUGGAUUACACUUGUUCAUGAGCUAACGUUUCAAGUGAGAGUUGGAUGGAGGCUUAAUAGAAUUAAUUAAUUCUCCGUGUUCCAAGAAGGGAGGGAAAAGGGAGAUACGGGAAAACUCUCCACCACAGCAGGCUCUCUGGUGGCCCCAGAGAUCCUGGCAGGUGCUCACUGGUUUCUUUCUACGCCCUGAUUUCCUUUGGGGCAAGGUUAGUUUUGUUCAGAGCAAUGAGGAAAAGCAGCCUUUCCCUGAUGGCUUGUUAUUUGUACAGGAAAUGAGCUCUAUGGGUUUGGAUAUUCAGAGUGUCGACUUCAGGCUGCACAGGGGCCAGGUUCCCUCCCUGCUCCCCCCUCCGCAAUCUCUCCCUUUGGAGCAGGGACAGAAAUCUCAAUCCCUAAAGCGAGAGACAGCAGGUGGUGUUUAAAAGCUAAGACUUCGGGGCUAGAAUGCCUUGCUAAGAGUUCCAGCGCUGACACUACUUUUAGUAUGGACCUUCAUGUUCUCAUCUGCAGAAUGGGGUUAAUAACCGUACCUCUUCCAAAGAUGACUGUGACAACGAAAGGUGAAGCCCCUAGUUCAGAGUCUGACAUAUAGUGCCACAUACCUAUGCUGUGUGCUGCUGGCUGGUAAGGAAAAUUAAUGUGGAUAAAGGUGUCUGGGUAAUAGGAAGGGGGAUGCUAUGCCAAUUUAGACAGAAUGUGCUCCAUCUGAACUAGACAGCCUGAACCUGUGGGCAUAUAGACCCAGUGUUGCCAAAAUCUUCCAGUUUUUCAAAAGAAGCCCCCCGUCCAGAUUUUGUGUGACAUCUUCUAAGUUGUGAAUGCUGAUGAUGAAUUUAAAAAACAUGAGAUGCUGGGCUGCACAGGACAAUCAGUGGGUCUGAUGCAGCUGGGGGCCUGCAGAUGGUGGCCUCUGCUUACUUAUUCCAUGCUGUCCCUGCAGAAUGGUGGAGACCAAAGCCAUGCAGCUUCCAGGAAACACAGAGUCACCAGCUUAACACAGGACCAAGAGCCUGGCCUCAUGCAUCAAGCUUUGUGAAUUGCAUCCUGGCUCCAACCCACUCUCAGCUAUGUGACUUUGAACAAGUAACUUUACUUCUCUGUACCUCAUUUUUAUUUGCAAAAUUACUAGUGCCUGCAUCCUGUAAAUAGCCACCCACCAUCUGGACUUUAUCUGCCACUGUCCCAGCAGGAAGCUUACUUAGACUGGGAUGCCUUUUCCCCACUGAGUGCCCCUGGGCUCAGCACUGCUAACCUACCACUGACCAUUCAAGUCUCAGCUGCUCGCCCCUGUCCUCUGUCCUUUGUGAUUGUCAAAUCCUACUUUGGAUGCAAUAAAAGCAAUUCAUCCACCUCUGUAUUUCAUGGAAGCUGCAUGGUUUUGGUCUCCUCCAUUCUGCAGUGACAGCUGCAUUAGAAGGAAAUGAAGUGAUAUAUGUGAAAAGUUAGUAUAGGACCAACCACAUCAAAAUUACUCAAUAAAUAUUAUUAUUAAUAUAAGUAACCAUCAUUUAAAUAAAUAUUAGCUUUUAUUACACACAAAGCAAUAGAAAGUUAUGAAGCACUUAAUGGGUCUGAGUUUUAAAUCCGGGCUCCAUGGGAAAUAUUAGGACAUUGAGGACAGGCCCUAAAUCUUACUUACUACUAAAUCCCCAACGUGGAGCACAGUCUUCAUUGAAUAAGGGUCUCCUGUGUAAAAAAUUAACAAUGAAAGAUUAAUGCUGCUCAGGUCAUCAAUAGAAGGGCAAUCUGAAGCAGAAGGGUGUGAAUAUCUGAAAGAGUCAAAUACAAUUCCAUUGAAUAUUCAGUUUCAGAAGAAAUCAACUCAGAUGCAAGCAGUCAGGGGAAAGUCUCAAGGAAACAAAGGUGUGGCUUGGCUAGGAAGCAAAAACACAUACCAAGAGUGCUGAGUAAAUGGAGAUGGUGACAAAGUGCUAGGUGUGUUUCAGGGACAGUGAGCAAAGGAAUUUGACGGGGGCAGAGUGGUCAGAACAGUUAGUAGGUGAAAGAAAUCUGGAAAGCUGGACUGACACUUUAUUGAAGAAGGCCUUCAAAGCCAAGCAAUGGUAGAGAUUGCUAGAUGUCUCUCCUUCCUUUUGAACAAAAUUCUUAGUUUAUUCACUAAAUACAUUGAUACUAUACUUCUCAGCCUCAGUGGUAGCUGGGUGCAGCCAUGUGACUAGAUUCUGAUUUAGUUGAGGCCAAUGAGACUUAAUGAGAUUUAAAUUCUGGGAUGUUGACCCAAUGGCUGGAGCUUUAGCAGCCAUCCUAGCUCUAGAGGCAAAAUGCUAAGGCUUUUGGCCGGAAGGAAGGAAAGAGCCAGUCUCCCUCAUCAGCCUCAGAUAUUCUUCCUCUGAGUGGCUACUAAAGAGAGAAAUAAACUUUACUGUUUAAGUCACUGUUAUUUGGGUCUAUUUUAACAUGCAGCCAAACAUAAUCCUAACUGAUACACAAGUCAAAGACUUUAUGCUUUAUCCUGGGAUAUCAGGCAACCAUUGGAAAUUUUUUUGGUGAGUAACAAGAUUCCCUGGUGGCUCAGAUAGCAAAGAGUCCACCAGCAAUG